CGGACGAGGCCGGGGCCCUCGUCUUCACGUGUAUGGCCGGAGAGCCGAAAUUGUCUUGAAGCGGGGGCGAUUCCGUCGGUCGGCCGCGGC
rnacentral:SRP_RNA from 1 species